AUUGAGCGCUGGCGGAAUGCUUUACACAUGCAAGUCGAACGGCAGCACGGACUUCAGUCUGGUGGCGAGUGGCGAACGGGUGAGUAAUGUAUCGGAACGUGCCCAGUUGUGGGGGAUAACGUAGUGAAAAUUACGCUAAUACCUCAUACGAUCUAUGGGUGAAAGCGGGGGAUCGCAAGACCUCGCGCGAUUGGAGCGGCCGAUAUCAGAUUAGGUAGUUGGUGGGGUAAAGGCCCACCAAGCCAACGAUCUGUAGCUGGUCUGAGAGGACGACCAGCCACACUGGAACUGAGACACGGUCCAGACUCCUACGGGAGGCAGCAGUGGGGAAUUUUGGACAAUGGGCGAAAGCCUGAUCCAUCCAUUCCGCGUGCAGGAUGUAGGCCCUCGGGUUGUAAACUGCUUUUGUACAGAACGAAAAGGUUUCUACUAAUACUAGGAGCUCAUGACGGUACUGUAAGAAUAAGCACCGGCUAACUACGUGCCAGCAGCCGCCGCUG
rnacentral:rRNA from 1 species